rnacentral:rRNA from 1 species
CGUACAAGCAGUGGGAGCCCCACCACCAAAGCAUUCUCUGGUGUUGAAGGCCCUGCAAAGCAGCAUCGCGGUGGCGGAGCGUCGUUUGCGACGCCCAACACACAAAACAAGCGGUGAGUGCUUUGGGGUGGGGUGACUGCGUACCUUUUGUAUAAUGGGUCAGCGACUUAUAUUCUGUAGCAAGGUUAACCGUAUAGGGGAGCCGGAGGGAAACCGAGUCUUAACCGGGCGUUAAGUUGCAGGGUAUAGACCCGAAACCCGGUGAUCUAGCCAUGGGCAGGUUGAAGGUUGG